ACAAUACUGGUCAGUACUUUUCAUUCUUACUAUAAAAUGUCAACAGGAUGAACAAAAAAGAGGCUUGUAUCCGUACUUCAAGUUUACCUCCAGGUAUCAAGAUUAACGUCUUUUAAAACUUAUUAUCCUUCUGAACCCAAUUCUGGUCAACAUCUUGAACACAGACAAAUGUUACAAAGUUACAAAUAUGAAAGUCGCAUGUUUACUUGUCAGCAAACUUGUAUAACUUGAGUAAAUGGUUGAUAUUGGCUUGUACAUGUUGUCUGGAUAUUUAUCUGAUUACAAGUAAUUUCUAGGAUUUCUGUUUCUAAUUAAGCUUUUUGUAAUCUCUUUCAGGUUCACUCGUUUUCAUGUUACCUUCAUUAUUCUUGGUUUGACAACCAGUGACUCUAAUCAACAACCAUCAAUACUGUGGUCAUGUCUAGAAAUUCAUAGCAAUUUGGAACAAUAAUCUUUUACCAGAAAAUUCCUGAUAAUAUGCGACUAAUUUUCUUCAUAAUGAUGUCCUUUUACUGUUGCUCUUGUGGAUAUCAUUAAAACUAAUCUGAUUAUGCAUUC